rnacentral:rRNA from 1 species
UGGGGAAUAUUGCACAAUGGGCGAAAGCCUGAUGCAGCAACGCCGCGUGAGUGAUGAAGGUCUUCGGAUUUGUAAAGCUCUGUCUUUUGGGACGAUAAUGACGGUACCAAAGGAGGAAGCCACGGCUAACUACGUGCCAGCAGCCGCGGUAAUACGUAGGUGGCGAGCGUUGUCCGGAUUUACUGGGCGUAAAGGGUGCGUAGGCGGAUGUUUAAGUGAGAUGUGAAAUACCCGGGCUUAACUUGGGUGCUGCAUUUCAAACUGGAUAUCUAGAGUGCAGGAGAGGAGAAUGGAAUUCCUAGUGUAGCGGUGAAAUGCGUAGAGAUUAGGAAGAACACCAGUGGCGAAGGCGAUUCUCUGGACUGUAACUG